rnacentral:tRNA from 1 species
AGGAGAGAGAGGGAUUCGAACCCUCGAUAGUUUUUUUUAUGAACUAUACCGGUUUUCAAGACCGGAGCCAUCAACCACUCGGCCAUCUCUCCAAAAGAUAAUUUCUAUUUUAUUUUUUUUUCGCCAAAUAGAACAUAGCCUAUGAGUUAAUAUGAUCACUAUGUAGAGAAAGAUAUAGGGUGUGACUUUCUUUAUAGGUCUAUAAAUCUGCCUAUAUAAAUAAAUGAGAUACACGAUCCAGUAUACCCAUUUGUGAAGUCAAAAAGAACCUUUAACUUAAUGUCCGAUCCGAAUAGAAUAAAAGUGGUAAAACGAAGUUGUAAAUUAAGUAUAAGUCAUCUCGAAUCAACGGAUUCAUGAGAAAAUCCCUUUAUUUAUUAAAUUUUUUUAGUGAGUAAGAGGAUUAAAUGGUGUAUAUUCUUUUGUUAAUAGCUUGGAGGAUUAAAAACAUGACUAUUGCUUUCCAAUUGGCUGUUUUUGCAUUAAUUAUUACUUCAUCAAUCUUACUGAUUAGUGUACCCGUUGUAUUUGCGUCUCCUGAUGGUUGGUCGAGUAACAAAAAUGUUGUAUUUUCUGGUACAUCUUUAUGGAUUGGAUUAGUCUUCUUGGUGGGUAUCCUUAAUUCUCUUAUCUCUUGA